GACAGAGGAUGCAAGCGUUAUCCGGAAUGAUUGGGCGUAAAGCGUCUGUAGGUGGCUUUUUAAGUCCGCCGUCAAAUCCCAGGGCUCAACCCUGGACAGGCGGUGGAAACUACCAAGCUGGAGUACGGUAGGGGCAGGAGGGAAUUCACGGUGGAGCAGUGAAAUGCGUGGAUAUCGUGAGGAACACUAGUGGCGAAGGCGGAUGUCUGGACAGUAUCUGACGCUGAGGCACGAAGGCCAGGGGAGCGAACGGG
rnacentral:rRNA from 1 species